UUCUUUCUUGUCACUCCAAAGGCAGGAGCCUAUUGAAGGAGCAGCCCCAAUAGUCUUUGGACUUGAAGAGAAGAUCCUGCUGUGGUGAAGUAGUAUACCAAAGAAAUGGACUCACUAGAGCAGAAACCAAAAGAAGCUCUGACAGACUAUUAGAGAAAAAGCUUGGCUGGCUGGUUUGUUUUCCUCUAGGCUUUGAGAAAUUCACCUUUAAAUGACCAGCAUUAGAUAGCUGUUGAACAGCUUCAGGGGUCCGACUCAACUCAUUGGAUCUUCAAUCAACUCACGUCCCUUCACAAAUGAGCUCAAGGACCUGAAACAUUUGAAAUUUUAGGGUUUGGAAAUAAGAAUCUCUAAGGAAAACACAUCAGUAAUGAACAUAUAUGAAUCAGAUCAGAGGCAUGAAUAUGAAAGGCAUUCCCAAUUGACUGAGGAGGCCAUUAUGGGGCUGUCAUCUAGAAUAAGAAUCAGAAUGUUAAACUGGGAAGAUUAUUAUGAAUGAUCUACUUCUGCACUUGAGAAAGAAGAAAGAAUGUUAAACUGGGAAGAUUAUUAUGAAUGAUCUACUUCUGCACUUGAGAAAGAAGAAAACUGAGGCCCAAAGAGAAAUAAGAAGGCCACAGUGUUUUUCUUCCUUUUAAAUAAAAUGGUAUUUUUCCUUAUUACAUAUCAAGGCAAUUUUUAGCAUUCAUUUAAAAAAGAUUUUGAGUUCC